rnacentral:rRNA from 1 species
GACGAACGCUGGCGGCGCGCCUAACACAUGCAAGUCGAACGAGAGAUGAAGAGCUUGCUCUUCAGAUCGAGUGGCGAACGGGUGAGUAACGCGUGAGGAACCUGCCUCAAAGAGGGGGGACAACAGUUGGAAACGACUGCUAAUACCGCAUAAGCCCACGGCUCGGCAUCGAGCAGAGGGAAAAGGAGCAAUCCGCUUUGAGAUGGCCUCGCGUCCGAUUAGCUAGUUGGUGAGGUAACGGCCCACCAAGGCGACGAUCGGUAGCCGGACUGAGAGGUUGAACGGCCACAUUGGGACUGAGACACGGCCCAGACUCCUACGGGAGGCAGCAGUGGGGAAUAUUGCACAAUGGGGGAAACCCUGAUGCAGCGACGCCGCGUGGAGGAAGAAGGUCUUCGGGAUUGGUAAAACUCCUGUUGUUGAGGAAGAUAAUGACGGUACUCAACAAGGAAGUGACGGCUAACUACGUG